rnacentral:lncRNA from 1 species
CUGGGAAAUUUUGUUGCGUCAUUACAGUCCCAAAAUGACUAGCCUCAUACUAGCAGGGCUUGGAGUAGCCGGAGCAGCGAUAGCAGGUCGUUAUGCCAUGGUAGCUUUAAGGAAGGUUAAUUUCAACCAAAUACCCAAAAUUAUUCCGAAAAUACCGGUAAGUAUUGUCAACUCCGUGCUUUGGAAAAACAUUGCUUCUCUCAAGAAAAUUAGAGCUUGGAUGCUGAUGUCACUUUAGUUUGUCAUGUGGUUUCUCUCUUAUCCAACCGUUUCACAUGACGUAUACAGUUCCAAUUACACUGUCCAGAGUUACAACUGUGACAUACAGUAAACACUGUACUAUUUGGGUUAAAAUCAGCCCUGGUGGUGAUAGCCAAUCACACUGGAUUUUGCAAAGCACUAACCCCCGAUCAGCUGACCCCCUACUGAUGCCCUAUAAAAACUAUUAAUGGGACCAAUUCAAGUUCACAAAUAAAUUAAGCUUACCUGAAAUUUCCAAAAUUGCGCAUUAAUUGCAGAUUUCCAACUCUCUCCUCCGGUGAUUGUAAGUGCAGGUUUUGCUUAUGGAAAACUGAGCACAGAUUAAAUUGGAAUAUCCUCAAGUAUGUUAUUUGCAGCCAUUAGAAAAUUAAGCAAUGAAAUUAAUGAAGAAAUGCUUGCAAAGGAACACACUUGCGGGCGACAAACAAAAUCUGCACUUAUGUAAAACUAGGAAUCAAAGGAGAAGAGAGUCAGAAAUCUGCAAUGUGGCCACUGCCUUUGAAAAUUUUAGGUAAUGAACUUGGAUCAGUCCUGUUGAUAGUUUUGGGAUUGUUUUAAAUUUUCUUUUUCCCAUUGAUUUUAUAGGAGGUCAGUAAGGGGUCAGUGUUUUGAUGAUACCCAAUCACAGUUGUGGAUUUUGGUUUAAGAGGUUAAUCAUGCUCAUAGUUUCAAAUGGACAGAGUACGCAGUGCUAGGUUGAUUUGAAAUUAAGAGCAUGAUUAGUCUCUGAAUUGUAGGACAUAAGGUCCAAUUACUAAUUAAUCAUAUCAAUAACAGAUUUUGAGGUUAAAAAAGUUUAUGAGAACUUCUUUUGAGCAAAAAAGUGAGAAGCACUCUCCAUAAGUUUUACAAACUGAAGGCAAUAGUACGAAGGAAGCCAUUAAAGUGCAUGCAAUAAUUUUAUUUAUUGAUGUGCAAACGGCUUAGGUAUCCAAUUACAGAAAAUUGUACUUGGAUACCAUCCAGUAAUUGGAAACCGAGUGAUCUCUUUUCAAUUGUGAGUCAAAUAGGCACAAGGAGAACCAAUCAAGAUCAAGAAUUUUGCUGUAGAUACUACUGUACAUACAAGGUCCCAUUGCUCGGCCAAAACCACCAAAAUAAACCUUUAGUUUUUUACCAUGUUGUUUCCUGUUUGGUGGAGCUGGAAUACAUGCAUAUCUCUAUGUAAAUGUUGAUAUCUGUUCUGUGUUUGGUUUGUAAUUCAUUUUUCACUUCAAGUAUUGAUCAAGUAUUUGGCUAAGCAUCCAUGUACAUGUUGGUUGAGCUUAAUCAACUAACUGAACUGAUAAGUAGAAAACUU